AGAUCUGUAAUAAGAAACUCACUAUAUAUAUAUAUAUUCAAACCGAGAAGUAUUGCUGAUUAGCCUCCCAAAUAGGAAGCACGAGUCAAAUCUUAUGACUAUUUCUUUCACUUUGCUUGCUUAAAGAAUGACUAAAAUUAAUCAAUUUUGGAGCAGGACUGAGAUUUUUCAUCUGAAACGAAAAAGUUGCGGCCUCUCAAAGACAAAAUCGAGAAAUAUGCAUUGCAUCAAUGAUUAUUGAAUAUCCGUUUCCUAAUAAAAAUCAGGGUCAGGGUCUGGGUUAUUUUGUGAGAUUGGAAUCAAUUUUAUGUUUGGUUCAGACAAAAUGGAUGCGUCUUGGGUCCACAUUUUUUAAUUCUUGACAAAAAAAUUUUUUUAUCCCAGUUGACACUUGUAUUCUUUUAGCUUAAAAUAAUUAGUUGAAUUAGUCCAUUCAAAUUUGUACGGUGGUGCCACUAGGCGUGGCUUAAUCAUAACACAAAUAUGCAAAGCUUGAAAACUGGGUGAUUGGAAAGAUCCGCAACGAACAGAAUGCCAGAUGGAACGCCAAGCCAAGCCACCAUGCAUUGACUUCACGGAAUGUCCAUAUUAAUUGUGCUUAUUUUAAUUAUGGGCUGGGCGAGUUGAAAAGAAUUGAUAUGGUGAUAAAGAUUGAAGAGAGAUGAGAUUUGAAGAUAGACACGCACCAUAUUGUCUUGCAGCUGGAGCUGCUUUCUUGGACAUCUCCUCAACACAAGGGAUUCUUGCGUGUCGGCCGGACUCUUUCCUUUUUUAUUCUGGCUCAAGUUCAAUAAAUAUAUGGAUUUUACUUGUUUCUAGGAAAAAGCCACACCAAUUAAAGCGUGUGUAUGGCGAUCACCAUCACCAUCACCAUGACUCUUUGACAAAUUUGGCAACUUGUCUACCCUAAAGCUAGAUUAACGAUUGCCUCAAUAUGAAAAAGGAAGCUAAAUUAAUGUGUCCAAGUUCAUCCAAUCUUCGACUAUUUAUUGUUGUUAUUUAUGACCCGUAAAUCAAAAUCAACUUUGCCAAAAUCAAUCUCUCCAACCACUUAUUUUGAAAAAUAGGGAACGAAUAG
rnacentral:lncRNA from 1 species